UUGAUAUUCCUGUACUACCGAUAACCGUUUGAGAGAAGGGAUGACACAGUAGGAUAAGCUAAGCACACUGUUGGUUAUGUGUGCCCAAGCAUUGAGGCAGUCAAAGUAGGCAAAUCCGCUUUGAUAAUGCUGGGAUGUGAUGGGGAGCGAAAUUUAGUAGCGAAGUAGCUGAUUUCACACUGUCAAGAAAAGUCUCUAUCGAGGUUAAAGGUACCCGUACCGCAAACCGACACAGGUGGGUGAGGAGAGUAUCCUAAGGCCAGCGAGAGAACUGUUGUUAAGGAACUCGGCAAAAUGACCCCGUAACUUAGGGAUAAGGGGUGCCACCAUCAGGUGGCCGCAGAGAAUAGGCCCAAGCGACUGUUUACCAAAAACAUAGGUUUCUGCUAAGUCGCAAGACGAUGUAUAGGAGCUGACGCCUGCCCGGUGCUGGAAGGUUAAGGGGAUCUGUUAGAGCAAUCGAAGCAGUGAACUUAAGCCCCAGUAAACGGCGGCCGUAACUAUAACGGUCCUAAGGUAGCGAAAUUCCUUGUCGGGUAAGUUCCGACCCGCACGAAAGGCGUAACGAUUUGGGCACUGUCUCAACAACAGACUCGGUGAAAUUGUAAUUCCGGUGAAGAUGCCGGAUACCUGCGACAGGACGGAAAGACCCCAUGGAGCUUUACUGUAGCUUGACAUUGGGUCUUGGUACUACAUGUACAGGAUAGGUGGGAGGCUUUGAAACCAGGACGCCAGUUUUGGCGGAGCCAUCCUUGGGAUACCACCCUUGUAGUACUGGGACUCUAACCAUAGGCCAUGAAUCUGGUCUUGGGACACUGUCAGGUGGGCAGUUUGACUGGGGCGGUCGCCUCCCAAAAGGUAACGGAGGCGCUCAAAGGUUCUCUCAGUACGGUCGGAAAUCGUACGUAGAGUGUAAAGGCAAAAGAGAGCUUGAUUGCAAGACAUACAGGUCGAGCAAGGAUGAAAAUCGGACUUAGUGAUCCGGUGGUUCUGCGUGGAAGGGCCAUCGCUCAACGGAUAAAAGCUACCCUGGGGAUAACAGGCUUAUCUCCCCCAAGAGUCCACAUCGACGGGGAGGUUUGGCACCUCGAUGUCGGCUCAUCACAUCCUGGGGCUGUAGUAGGUCCCAAGGGUUGGGCUGUUCGCCCAUUAAAGUGGUACGCGAGCUGGGUUCAGAACGUCGUGAGACAGUUCGGUCCCUAUCCGUCGCAGGCGUAGGAAAUUUGAGAAGACCUGUCCUUAGUACGAGAGGACCGGGAUGGACG
rnacentral:rRNA from 1 species